rnacentral:rRNA from 1 species
CAGUAGCCACGGUAAUACGUAGGUCCCGAGCGUUGUCCGGAUUUAUUGGGCGUAAAGCGAGCGCAGGCGGUUAGAUAAGUCUGAAGUUAAAGGCUGUGGCUUAACCAUAGUACGCUUUGGAAACUGUUUAACUUGAGUGCAAGAGGGGAGAGUGGAAUUCCAUGUGUAGCGGUGAAAUGCGUAGAUAUAUGGAGGAACACCGGUGGCGAAAGCGGCUCUCUGGCUUGUAACUGACGCUGAGGCUCGAAAGCGUGGGUAGCAAACAGGAUUAGAUACCCCUGUAGUCCCUGUCUCUUAUACA